rnacentral:rRNA from 1 species
UACGUAGCAGCGAGCGUUGUUCGGAGUUACUGGGCGUAAAGCGUGCGUAGGCGGUGUCUUAAGUUUGUUGUGAAAUCUCCCGGCUUAACCGGGAGGGUGCGGCGAAUACUGAGAUGCUGGAGUGCCGGAGAGGUAAGCGGAAUUCCUGGUGUAGCGGUGAAUGCGUAGAUAUCAGGAGGAACACCUGCGGUGUAGACGGCUUACUGGACGGUAACUGACGCUGAGGCACGAAAGCGUGGGUAGCAAACAGG